UUAGCUGGGCAUGGUGGCGCGUGCCUGUAAUCCCAGCUACUCAGGAGGCUGAGGCAGGAGAAUCGCUUAAACCUUGGAAGUGGAGGGUGCAGCGAGCAAGAUCUCACCACUGUACUCCAGCCUGGGUGACAGAGUGAGACUGUCUUAAAAAAAAAAAAAAA